UAAAUCUUCGGGCCCCCAAAUCACUAAGGGAAUAAUCAAGCUGGGAACUGCUUAGGGCAAACCUGCUUCCCAUUCUAUUCAAAGUCACCCCUCUGCUCACUGAGAUAAAUGCGUAUCUGAUUGCCUCCUUUGGAAAGGCUAAUCAGAAACUCACAAAAAUGAACCGUUUGUCUCUCAAGUAUCUGUGACCUGGAAGCUCCCUCCCAGCUUCAAGUUGUGCCGCCUUUCCAGACAGAACCAAUGUACAGCUUAUAUAUAUUGAUUGACGUCUCAUGUCUUCCUAAAAUGUAUAAAACCAAGCUGUGUUCUGACCAACUUGGACACAUGUCAUCAGGACCUCCUGAUGCUGUGUCACGGGCAUGCAUCCUCAACCUCGGCAAAAUAAACUUUCUAAAUUAACUGAGAUCUGUCUCAGAUAUUUGGGGUUCACAUAUAUAUGAAUAUAUGAAAUAAUUGUAUAUUUUAGAGUCCCAUUCCUGGAAGUUUAAACAGCUGUACUCAUAGCCCACACUUAAGUAGAAAGUUGGGAGAAUAUCUGACAGUAUGGGUGACAACUGCUUACUCUAGGUGCAGAUUGGGGCUUCUCAGGCAGCUAUUGGCCCCAGGGUAAUUAGCCUUCUGGUGACUACAGAAGUAGAAAGUAGAGAUCUCCAUCUACUUUACAGUUGAAGGCACUGAGUCUCAGCACACCCAGUUCAGUGGUUGUUAACUCUGGUUGCAUAGUAUAAUCACUUAGGGUGAUGAAAAGACACCCAGAAAAAAACAUCCAGGAUAGAUCCUCAGAUAUUCUGAUGUAAUUGGUCUGAGGUGAGACCCAGGCAUCAUUACAAUAUGAAAGCUCCUUGGGUGAUACUAAUAUGAAUUAGGAUUGAGAAGCUCUGGUAUAGCGGGAAAAAUAUGGGCUUUGGAGUCACUAAUAUCUGAUACAGCUCCCAGCUUUGCCAUUUAUUGGCCAUGUCAUUUUGAGUAAAUUAAUGACUACUGUCUGCUCAGGGUCCUCAUUUUAAAUCAUAAAGUUGUCACAAGGGUUAAAUGUAAUAACAUGCAAAGUGUUUUUCAAGGUUUCUGGAACAUGGUUGGUGUUAAAAAAACGUUGGGUCCUUUAGUAUGUACCUAAGGUCCUAUAGCUAGCUGAUGGUUCUGGAAAGCCAUCCAGAACCGUGCUGUGCACUCAGUGAAUGCCUGUGGAUGUUCCUUGGUGACAUCAUCUUUGAACAUGAAUAUGGGUGUUACUGAGACAUUUCGAACACCACAUUGAGUUGGUGUUCAUCAGAACAAUAAAGCCAUACCUCAUAGAGAUUCAUCUCAUUUGCUGAAUAUUAAUUUGCCUCCUAUUUUUAGUUCUUCAGCUAAAAAGAAACCAAUUUUUAUUCUGCUAAACCAAUUGAUUAUGAUGGAACUCUUGCAAGAAAAAAGUUACACUGUUACAAUUACAUAAAUGUAUGGAAGUCUUUGUGUAACUUAUGUAGUAAGCUGAGGAUAUAACAGUUAAAUUGUCCUUUAAAAAUUUUAAGACCUGCCCCACCCUCCACCCCCAGCAAUGAACGAUUUCACUUUUCACCAGCUUUAACCUAAAUGUCUUUAGCCUAUUUUCUUUAUCCAUCCUAUGAUAGACAGAAGAGUUAGUGAGAACUGGAUUUGAUUUCAGAAGACCUGGGAUUGAGGCUUGGCUCUGUCAUUCACUGGGUAUAAACCUCGGGCGAUCAUUCUUCUUUGCUCUCGUGCCUUCUCAUGAAUGCAAUGAGCACCUGAAUAGCAUGACCUGACUUUAGCAUGAAGUGAGUUUAAAACUGUGAUGCUGACCAAGCAGGACAUGGUUAUUUAACACUUAUUAAGCACCUCCUGUAUGUCCAGCCCUCAGUAGGAAACCUUGCAGGAAUUAUAAAGCCCUGAGACUUUUAUAGAGUAACUUGGAGUCUAGCUAGAAGAGAUAAAUCUCAUGCAUGAAGAACAACUAGGACCAGUUUCCACCUGAGAGCUGCAAUAAGUCCAGCCCAGUUGACUCAUGGAGGAAAUAAGUGGAACAUUUAAGAAAUGACAAUCAUGGAGAAACGAAGGGGUGUCAAAAUUGAAUGUCCUGUCCCUUAGUGCUUUAUUUCUCUUCAGUCUCUGACACAAAGUCUUGGAUAGUAAUAACAUGACACAAAACUCCUUCAAGUUAGAUAGGGCCAGGCAUUUUUCUAACAGCACAUUCCAGAACUUUGUCCAUGUCCUAAAUCCUUAUUAUUUUGCACAGUUUUCAGCAGUCUUUUGCAAGCUCCAGGCUUUCCCCCACUCCUAUUUAGACCUCAUGUGCCUCUGAUAGCUCUGGACAGAGCCCAUACUGUGUGGCGGACGCACAAAGGGGACACAGUAUGCAAAUGGCGGUGUAGGAAGCAUCGAGGCAGGAAUGUUUGAGCUGUGCCAUGUCACAGAUCAUUUCUGAAACAGCAGUCCUGAGCUGUGAGUCACAACCCUUGUUAGGGGUGAACAGCUGAUGAGGCUGGUGUCAAUUUUUGUCUGACCCCAUCCUAAGAGCAACACCCCAAGUACUUCAAUUACCCAUUUGUAACAUUCUCCCAGCGGCAGAGAAAGGAACAACAGUGGCAGCCCACACAGUGAACCUCAAAAGUAAAGCUCUCUGAAGUAUGAAGAUAGAAGAGGAAGUUUGGGAGACUCACAAUGAAAGGGUUUAACAAGAACUGCCUGUGAAUGUGUUGACUUAGAAACUAUUGGAGCAUUGGCAAUGAUUUCCUUAACAACGGAAGGAAAAUUGACCAGGGGCAUGAGUGUUUCAUUCAUUUUUCAGAUGAGUAUAGCAGAAUUGCCAAGAGAAAGAGAAUGUCUGCUCUAGCGCAGGGUUUCAGCCCUCAGCCCAGCCACUGACUCCCUUGGUGUUCUUUUGCAAAUCAUCCAUCUCCCUGGGUCUCCGUUUAUUCAUCUGUAAAAUGAGGAGCUGGUCCAGGUAAACUGUAAGUUCCUUCCUGGCUGGAACAUCCUGAUUUGGUGCAAGCCAUAGUGAGGGUUGUUAAAUUAUGCCUUGCUCCACGCAGAGAGGUCUAACUUAACUUUGUGCACAAAGCAUACUCAUUGACUUUCUGACUAAGUGUGGCUCAGGCACUUCCCUGAACUAUGGUGUGCUGGGAGUCUCUGCCCAAGGGAAGAGAGCUAUUUUGAGGCAGGGUUGAUUAGAGAUAAGGUGUCUCAUUCCUUUACCGGUCAUUGGCCCUGACUCACCCGAAGUUCUUGGGUUUAAAGCUUAACCCUUGAUGGAUGAAUGUAAGCUAACCCCUCUGCUUGCCCAUGAAAAUGGCGCCCAGGACACUGCUUCUCAAGCCCCAGCUUUAUCAGUGUCAAUUAAGAAAGUUCUUUGACCUCUUUUUGCUUAGCCAGCUUCUCUGAAAUGCAGCCCUUGCUUGUAACCUCUCUCCUUGACAUCUCUUGUUUGCUCUUUCUUGUUAUUUACGGAGUCUUCUGAGUUAUAUAAAGGGGAACGUCUCAGUAAUCCUCUUAACAGCAAAGAAAUCUGGCCACCCUGUUAGGUAGGGGGAUGGAAAUGUCACAAGAUGCUUGAAAAAGGCACUGGACAAAGCUGCAACAUACUUUUGCAUGGAAAAGCCCAGAAAAUGAAUGGCACAAAAGACCACUAUAGUUAUGCUGCUUUGAGAGACAACAAAAUUAAAUUAUAAGAUGGCCUACUGCUCUGUUGCCCAGGUUAGAGUGCAGUGGCUUGAUCAUAGCUCACUGCAGCCUUGAGCUCCUAGGCUCAAGCAGUCCUCUUGCCUCAGCCUCCUGAAUAGCUGGGACUACAGGGCUCAGGGAGGACUGACAGGACUAGAGUUGACAACCAUUCAUCCAACAAACAUUUACUACAUGAGGAAGAGAGGUGAUCAAGGCACUGCCCUUGUCCCCAGGAAGCUCGCCAGUGCAUGGGACUGCACAGGUGUCUUCACCUCUGCAUUAGGCAUUCGAUUUCAGGCCAUGGCUGAGCAUCCAUCCUCUCUAUGCUAAUUUUUUCCAAAAGUCAAGAGUUUGGAAGAACACUAAUGUGUUUUUCUUCCAGCCUUUCCUAUACAAAUGACAACAUCAUUACCCUCAGCUUUUAAAGUGCAAGUCUGUACAGAGAUCCCAGAGUCAAGGAGGGCGCCUGAGUCAUUUGAAAUAAUUACCUUUUUUUUUUCCUGCCUGAGUCUUGCAUAUCUGUGAAUCAGCAAUGUGGAAACUGGGCUUCAAAAAAAUUAAGAGAGGCUUAAAGUGAGCAAAGCAGAGAAGAGCAUUGGCAAGAGCUGAGCGCUGCCACAGCAGGAACAUCAUGCCGAUCGUCAUCUAAGGGAGCUCAUGGCGCUGUCUGCCUCCUCUUAGCAACAUCCACACAGGCUGGUACAGUCAGAUCAUUGUGACUUGGACAGGGAUGAAAAUACUCAGCUGACACCAAUAGCUCCCAGCACAGCCAGGGUAUUCUAGAGGUGUGUGGUGUCAGGACAGCCUGUGUAGCCUCAUUUAUUUACCUGAGUCAUCUGAACAAAGCGGUAACUGGCUUUGCCUGGCUCUGGCAAGAACUCGCAACAAAGCCAAAGCCCCUUCCUCCACGGCCUUUGCUCCUGCAGCACAGCACUGGCAUCUUUUUAGCAUCAUAGACACUGUCACGUGGCAAUCAAUGACAGAUUAACUGUCCCUUCCCUGGGCCACAAGCUCUUCAAGGCGGGAGCCUCAGCCCAGUUUCUUCCAUGUCUCCAGUGCCCAGCACAGGGCCUGGCUUCUAGCUGGUUUCUGAUGAAUAAAUGAAUGGCUAUAGAGAUGUACUCUUCAAAACACAAGGGGCUUCUAUAGUGGCAACAUGUUCAGUAGCACAGUGCUGUAUUGGUUCUUUACAGCUUGCAGGACCCAAAGAAGGAAUGAUUUUUGUUUCCCGGGAAAGGUGUACCUCGUGGGGGCACUGCUCAAGGGAAGGUGCCCACAAGUUGGGGAUCAAGGGAGGCACAGGUUGAUCAAGGCCCCUGGAAUUGAAAUGGAGGUGUUCAUCCUGCGGAGGCUCCGAACAUCUGAGGCAGAGCCUCGAUUCUCCAGGAAAUUGACUUUGCCGGAGAACAAGGCUGGGGGAGGCAGGCUGUCCUAGGGGAGGAGUCGUAUUUCAGCCCCACUGAGACCCCAAAGGCGCACUCCCAUGCUUUACCCCAGCUGUCCACGAGGGGGCAGGCAGAGGCAAGAGAAGAGGAAAGCGGGCGGCUGGUCAGGCCCAGCACAUCCAGCCUGACAUCCCACACGCUGGGCCGCCUGACUCAGACAAAGCCAGGCCGCUCCUCCUGCCUGUUGUGGCCUCUGUGAUUUUAUGUGGUUUGGCCUGUGACAUCAGACACCACGCGACCAUGGUAACCAAAGUAUACAGCCUGGAGUGAAUGUUAAUAAACAGGAAAGAAACGAUACCUGGUGUCUUGCUUUACUCACCAUUUGCGGUCUUGUUAUCCACGCCUAAUGUCUCCUUUAUUACCACGAGCAAUCGAGAUGUACCUGAAUUCAGCAACUUUUAAAAAUGAGAAGCUAAACUGGGGAAAUAUUUGGAGAGACAGCUGGGAGCCUCUGAUGAGAAAAUAAAAAAUUUACAACAACAAGCAAGCUGUCCUCUGACACCAGGAGAGGAACUCGCUUCAGCCCUGGCAAGAAUUGCAGCUGGACUUUGUGAGGCACUGUUUCAUCAGAUGCCAAACGUCAUAGCAAGGGCAAGAAUGACAAGAAUUACAGUUUCUGCCCUGAUGCACAGGUACUGAUGGAAGAGAUAUUUCUGUGUUGAUUUUGCACUUCUCAGGGCAAAUCUGCAAAAUAGAUAUCAAAGGAGAUGUGGGCACUGGGCAAGGAGCCACACCAAUCAACCAUAUAGAGCAGUCUGGAGGAGUCUCUCCCCAUCUCCAACCCUCAGUUUUUCCCACCUGUUAAACACAGGCCACAAUGUCUGUGCAGCCACCUCGCAGUGCAGUUAAAAGAACCGGUUUAAACAGUGUUUCUUAGCUUAGAGUCAAUGGCUGAACAGGUUGCAGAGGGGCUGUAAAAUCCUGAAAUUUGCAUGAAGCAAUUUUUCCAUAUAUGUCCAUGUGCAUCUUUCUGAGGAGGGGUUUGUCGCUUUCACUAUAUUCUUAAGAAUAUAGUCACUCUUAAGAGGUUAAGGGCCACUGUUCUAGGUAAUGUGUGAAGGUGAUGUAUGUGUCCUGUAAUUGAGCUAUUAUCAGCAAGCUUUUUGAGGAAAAAGGGACACAGAGGAGCACCUAUUAUGUGUUAGGGACUGUGCAGGACACACAGAGAAUAGAAAAAAAAUGACCCUGGCCUUCUGGAGCAUAUGAUAGACUUUAGAUAUGAGCCCAAAACAGAUUAAAAGUUAAAAGGAAAAGCUAAGUAUAGGCAACACAGGUGAAAGGUCAGAAGAAUGUAAGUGCCCCAUAGAAGGAAAGAAAUGGACUUCCAGCUACAGUGGGUUUAGGGAUGGACACAGAGCGAGGGUGGGAAUGAGUACAGGGAAAGGCAGGCAAGAGCAUCUGUGGAAGAGGGAUGGCCGGUGCAGCAGAGCUUGCAUGCUGAGUUGACACGCUCCAUGCCAGAGACCCUUAGAUUGGGACUAAGUGUCACCGAAGAGAAGGCUGCGUUCAACAGAUGUUUCUCAGGGUGACAGUUCAUCCCAGGUGCCCUCAGACCCACAUGACCUGCUCUUGGUCCUUCAGCCUCCGCUCUGCAGAUGGGGCUGAGGGGCCCACCCAGAGAAGCCCUGUGGGGGAGAACAGAGCCUGCCCAGGACAGAUAUUCUCCUCCUUAGGAGCAAGUCCUCUUGACCCCCACGUUCCAAGCAGGAAGCUUUUCACAUGUAGACUUUCUUCCUGCUGUGAUGCACAAAAGCAGCCUCUUCCCAGUUAACAAAGUCUGGUGGAGCCUCCUGGGGCCAUGCCUAGCACAUCGUUACCCGAAGCAGACUAGGCAAACAAAGCCCUAGAAAAUGAGAAAAAAUGGAAAUGAUUUGAUAUUUUAGAAAAAAAUAUUGAAGUGUUUAUCGUGGGGAAAACUGGAACCCUGUUAAUAUUUUUACUAGUAUUGUAUGGCAUGGCAGUUUCUAAAUUCUGCAUGUGGUGGGGCCACUGUAACUCUUUCUGGGCGAGGACUCUGUGAUGAUUCUACUCAGACCCUGGCUCCACAGACUGGCAAGGCCGCCCCUUCCCAAAUCAGCAAGUGUCCUGGACCAAAUGGUCAUUUCUCCACUCCUCUGGGACUCUGGAAGAGCAUUCUCCGAGCUCUUGGGAUCUUGCCUUGGCUCUGUGGAUGUAAAGAUCCCAAAGUCUUUCUAGAAUGUACUCUUGAAGACUGAGUUGACUCUGGAGAUCAGUGUAGGAUCGCUGUCCCCACUUUGCAGCCCCAAACCCACUUCCCAAGGGAGUAAUUCAUUACCUGCAGUCCUGAUUACUCAAAGGGAAUGUCUAAUGACGUCUGCUCUGCAGCACCCAAGAACCUGAGACCAGGACUCCUGGCCUCUUUUCAGAAAGAGUGGAGUCUGCCAUUUCCUGACCACCGCCCUGUCCUCAAGGGCAGCUCAUCUCCCGUGUUACAUUCCUGCAUGAACCCCCGCCCUGAUCCUGUGACUUGUCAUGUGCCACAGUGCCAUGAGAUUUGUGUUACUUUGCUUCUGUUCCUGAAAGUUAUCACUUCCCCUUUUCAUCUUAUCACUGCCUGGCUGAAUGAUGAGGGUGCCUGAGGGGAACUGGGUGUCUUCUUUCUGUUCGCGGGUACCAGAAGCAGCGCACGCAGGGCCAAUGGCUUCAGUUAUAGCCACUGGGAUGAGGCGUGAUUCCUACAAGCCAGAAGAGAAAGACAAGCCUGGGAGAUUUUGUCUCAAGGGAGAGACCUCUUGGGGAGAGCCAGCUUCCCAUUGCCCCCUGUACUGAUCUGGUUUUAGCAUUCCUCUCAAACAAAGCCAGGCAAUAUCUUUUGGGCUCUCUUUUCUGCACUAGGCUCAUCAGAUGGAGGAGGGGACUCUGGCCCAGCAGAAGGCAGCAGGAGUCUGGCUUUGGCUCUCAGUCAAGACUCCUUCCAGUUCACUUGCUCCCUUGUUGUUUUUAAUCAGUCAAAGCCAAGAGCUCCAGAUGAAAAAGAAGUGGGGAGGGAGAAAGGCUAAACCUCAGUUCAAGUUAAAGCAGGAUUAUUUAUUUUAAUUAUUUAUUCAUACCAACUUCCAGCACAGCACCACAUACACGAUGGCUGGUAUUUAGAAUUUCUCAGUCGUGUCUGAUCAAAGCUUAACAGUUCCUGGGUCUCUUCACUUCCACAGAAUUCUACUUUGGUGGGGUGUGGUGGGGUGGGGAGGCAGGAGUUCGAUGUGGGAAAUUAAUUUGGGCUCAGAGAUUAACAAUGGUUAAAUCUUAGUGUACCUCACCUGCCAGGUAACAUGGUAUGGUAAACAGUUUUGGUUUUGGCUGGCUGUGCCCUGACCUACCUCUAAGAAUUACUUAUUCUACAUAUGGAAAGUUGUUAGUCAGGGUGUCUGCCUUUCUCUGGCCUGGGAUAAUGCAUGUGAACCACAUGAGGUCGGUCAGAUCCUCCUUCCUUGGAAUCUGACAUUUGAACAAAGUCAUCAAAAGAUGGAAACCAACUGGAGCUCAUUUGUGAUUCACAGUUGUGUAGCCAAGCGACCCCAAUGAGGAGGUCCUAGGUCUUGAUUCUGUGCUGCUUCUUGCCUAUGGCAUCACCCCGGUUCCUGUUUGUUCUUUCCUAGUUUCUGGACCUGAUUUCCAGUUGAGCUAUUGAAAGAUCAGCUGUUUUUCCAGUAAAUUCCCUUUUGAUUUAGAUGAGCCAAGGUCAGUUUCUGUUGCUUGCUACUCAAGGAGCUCUAACUACACCCACAAUGCACCUUUGUUUCUCAGAAUCCCUUUAGUCACACACAGGUUUCAGAAUGGUGCCCUAAAAUUGUGCUAGAAGCAAAUAAAAUCUUUGUGUUGACUUGGACUGUGUUGUAAUCAUUUCCUACAAUUUAUUUCCUUAAUUGCCAAGUUCCUACUAGCUAGUCAUUGAUUGUAGUUUGUAGCCUGCCUUUUGGUUUCUUUCAGCAUUUUUUAGUUCAUGUCACGCUUGGCCAAAACUCCCCACCCCAUUCCUGGGACCAGGCUUGCUUUCCUCAUGGUCUGCCGCUUGACAAUCUCCAGGCAGAAGACACUCAGAUACCUGCUAGGGAAACAGAAACCUGGACAACAUUUCUAUAAGCCACAUUAGAAAAACUAUCAGCAAGAGCUUCUAAAAUGUUCUUUCUUUUUGAACUAGUUAUUUAGCUAGUUUGGAAACUUACCCUAAGAAAAUUGUGAGAGAAGCAUAAAGAUUAAGUAUAUUUGUUACAGUGUUAUUUUGUAGUAGCAAAAACUAGAAAACAUUUCCCAGCAACAGAGAAUCGCUCAAGUAAACAAUGAUAUAUUCAUAUGACAAUGUGUGAUGUAUCAAUUCAAAAUCAUGAUUUUGUAGAUUAUUUAAUGCUGUGAGGAAAAUUCUCACAAUAUCUGUGCACCAGGAGAGAAAAAACAAACCAAGGCACAAAACUGUACGCACAGGGUAAUCUCAACUUUUUUUUCUUUCAAAUUGGGAAGGACCGCACCAACAUAUCAGCAGUGGUUAACUCUUGGUGGUGUGAUCACGAGUGUGUUAGCAGGCUAUACACUCUUUGAAGGCAGUAACUCUGUCUUGCUUAAGGUUAUAGCUCUAAUUCUUAGCUCAGGUCCAGGCACAUAGCUUGCCUUGAGAUAAUGAAUGAGCUUCUUUAUGUUUUUCCAUAGUUGUACUGCUAGAGAUCAAUAGGUACCAAAAUAGUCCUACUUGAACUUCUCCCUCUUUGUGAA